UGGGGAAUAUUGGCACAAUGGGCGCAAGGCCUGAUGCAGCCAUGCCGCGUGUGUGAAGAAGGCCUUCGGGUUGUAAAGCACUUUCAGCGAGGAGGAAGGUGGUGAACUUAAUACGUUCAUCAAUUGACGUUACUCGCAGAAGAAGCACCGGCUAACUCCGUGCCAGCAGCCGCGGUAAUACGGAGGGUGCAAGCGUUAAUCGGAAUUACUGGGCGUAAAGCGCACGCAGGCGGUUUGUUAAGUCAGAUGUGAAAUCCCCGGGCUCAACCUGGGAACUGCAUUUGAAACUGGCAAGCUAGAGUCUCGUAGAGGGGGGUAGAAUUCCAGGUGUAGCGGUGAAAUGCGUAGAGAUCUGGAGGAAUACCGGUGGCGAAGGCGGCCCCCCUGGANGAAGACUGACGCUCAGGUGCGAAAGCGUGGGGGAGCAAACAGAUUAGNUACCCUGGUAGUCCACGCUGUAAACGAUGUCGA
rnacentral:rRNA from 1 species